rnacentral:rRNA from 1 species
AUUGAACGCUGGCGGCAUGCCUUACACAUGCAAGUCGAACGGCAGCACGGGAGCAAUCCUGGUGGCGAGUGGCGAACGGGUGAGUAAUAUAUCGGAACGUGCCCAGUCGUGGGGGAUAACGUAGCGAAAGCUACGCUAAUACCGCAUACGAUCUACGGAUGAAAGCGGGGGAUCGCAAGACCUCGCGCGAUUGGAGCGGCCGAUAUCAGAUUAGGUAGUUGGUGAGGUAAAGGGCUCACCAAGCCGACGAUCUGUAGCUGGUCUGAGAGGACGACCAGCCACACUGGGACUGAGACACGGCCCAGACUCCUACGGGAGCAGCAGUGGGGAAUUUUGGACAAUGGGCGCAAGCCUGAUCCAGCAAUGCCGCGUGCAGGAUGAAGGCCUCGGUGUAACUGCUUUGUACGGU